rnacentral:lncRNA from 1 species
UUCAAAUCAGUAUUAACUCAACAACCCAAAUAUCAAAAACAACACCCACUGAUUUUCAUUCUCAAACAACUUCAAUUUGUAGAACCCAAAUUUUAGAUCGUCCAUCUUCGAUAUUUCUCCUCAUUCGUCUUCGCCGGCCCUCUCUCCUCCGAUUUCAGUUUUUCGCUACCUAGCCCCCGGUUCUGCUACUUUUGAAAUGGGUGGGUAUUUUAGUGAAAUAAUAUUCAUUAAACCUACCUAAGCUACUUUUGGGAUGGAAAGAUCUGUGCUUAAUUAGUUGGAUGGAGAGUGGAUUAAGGAAAAGAAAAAGGAAACGCAGAAGAAGGGCAGAAGGAAGAAGAUGAAUGGGGGUGGGGGUAGCGC